rnacentral:ncRNA from 2 species
GUGUGUGUGUGUGUGUGU